rnacentral:piRNA from 1 species
CUCUGGGCCAACACAAGAGCAGC